rnacentral:rRNA from 1 species
UGGGGAAUAUUGCACAAUGGAGGGAACUCUGAUGCAGCGACGCCGCGUGAACGAAGAAGGCUUUCGAGUCGUAAAGUUCUUUUAUAUGGGAAGAUAAUGACGGUACCAUAAGAAAAAGCCCCGGCUAACUACGUGCCAGCAGCCGCGGUAAUACGUAGGGGGCUAGCGUUGUCCGGAAUCACUGGGCGUAAAGGGUUCGCAGGCGGAAAUGCAAGUCAGGUGUAAAAGGCAGUAGCUUAACUACUGUAAGCAUUUGAAACUGCAUAUCUUGAGAAGAGUAGAGGUAAGUGGAAUUUUUAGUGUAGCGGUGAAAUGCUUAGAUAUUAAAAAGAAUACCGGUGGCGAAGGCGGCUUACUGGGCUCAUUCUGACGCUGAGGAACGAAAGCGUGGGUAGCAAACAGG